GACGAACGCUGGCGGCGUGCUUAACACAUGCAAGUCGAGCGAUGAAGCACCUUCGGGUGUGAAUUAGCGGCGAACGGGUGAGGAACACGUGAGAAAUCUGCCUUCAACACUGGGAUAACUCCGGGAAACCGGGGCUAAUACCGGAUAUGAAACCUGCAGGCAUCCGCGGGUUUGGAAAGUUUUUCGGUUGAAGAUGAUCGCGCGGCCUAUCAGCUUGUUGGUGAGGUAAUGGCUCACCAAGGCGACGACGGGUAGCCGGCCUGAGAGGGCGACCGGCCACACUGGGACUGAGACACGGCCCAGACUCCUACGGGAGGCAGCAGUGGGGAAUAUUGGGCAAUGGAGGAAACUCUGACCCAGCGACGCCGCGUGCGGGAUGAAGGCCUUCGGGUUGUAAACCGCUUUCAGCAGGGAAGAAGCGAAAGUGACGGUACCUGCAGAAGAAGCACCGGCUAACUAUGUGCCAGCAGCCGCCGUAA
rnacentral:rRNA from 1 species